ensembl:snRNA U4 U4 spliceosomal RNA
AGCUUUGUGCAGUGGCAGUUUCGUAGCCAAUGAGGUUUAUCCAAGGCGCGAUUAUUGCUAAUUGAAAAUUAUGAUUUUCCUAAUUUAUAAUUGUUUAGUAUUGGUAGACCUUUCAUUAUCACACUGAGA